UACGAGGGGGGCGAGCGCUGUUCGGAAUUAUUGGGCGUAAAGGGUGCGUAGGCGGUUUGGUAAGUCUUAUGUGAAAUCUACAGGCUCAACUUGUAGUCUGCAUGAGAAACUGCCGGGCUUGAGUAUGGGAGAGGUGAGUGGAAUUCCUGGUGUAGCGGUGAAAUGCGUAGAUAUCAGGAGGAACACCGGUGGUGUAGACGGCUUUCUGGACCGUAACUGACGCUGAGACACGAAAGCGUGGGUAGCAAACAGG
rnacentral:rRNA from 1 species